GACGAACGCUGGCGGCGUGCCUAAUACAUGCAAGUCGAGCGGGCCUCCGGAGGUGCUUGCACCUCCGGGAGGCCAGCGGCGGACGGGUGAGUAACACGUGGGCAACCUGCCUUUGAGGCCGGGAUAACACCGGGAAACCGGUGCUAAUACCGGAUACGUCCUCUUUCGCGCCUGCGAGAGGGGAGAAAGACGGUCUUUAAGGCCGUCGCUCAAAGAGGGGCCCGCGGCGCAUUAGCUGGUUGGUGGGGUAAGGGCCUACCAAGGCGACGAUGCGUUGCCGACCUGAGAGGGUGAUCGGCCACACUGGGGCUGGGACACGGCCCAGACUCCUGCGGGAGGCAGCAGUAGGGAAUCAUCCGCAAUGGGCGAAAGCCUGACGGUGCAACGCCGCGUGAGUGAGGAAGGUUUUCGGAUCGUAAAGCUCUGUUGUGAGGGAAGAACAGCUUCCGGAGGAAAUGCCGGAGGUUUGCCGGUACCUCACCAGAAAGCCCCGGCUAACUACGUGCCAGCCGCCGCAGUAA
rnacentral:rRNA from 1 species